rnacentral:rRNA from 1 species
AGAGUUUGAUCCUGGCUCAGGAUGAACGCUAGCGGUGCGCUUAACACMUGCMAGUCSAACGGAUUUCUGGGGCUUGCUCCAGAAGUUAGUGGCSAACGGGCGAGUAUAAAGUUUGUACCUGCCCUGAAGUCGGGGAUAACGCGCCSAAAGGCGUGCUAAUACCGGAUGGUCCCGAGAGGGUAAAGCCGCAAGGCGCUUCMGGAGGGGCAUGCUCCCUAUCAGCUAGUUGGCGGGGUAAAGGCCCACCMAGGCUAUGACGGGUAGUUGGUCUGAGAGGACGGCCMGCCSCMAUGGGACUGAGACMCGGCCCAUGCUCCUACGGGAGGCAGCAGUGAGGAAUCUUC